rnacentral:rRNA from 1 species
UACGUAGGGAGCUAGCGUUGUUCGGAAUCACUGGGCUUAAAGCGUGUGUAGGCGGAUGCCUAAGUACCUUGUGAAAUCCCACGGCUCACCCGUGGAACCGCUGGGUAUACUGGGCAUCUUGGGCCAUUCAGGGGCAACUGGAACAAGCGGUGGAGCGGUGAAAUGCGUAGAUAUCGCUUGGAACGCCGACGGUGAAAACAGGUUGCUGGGAAUGUGCCGACGCUGAGACACGAAAGCCAGGGGAGCAAACGGG